ACCAGCACGGUUUAAUGAUUUGAGUGUUGGCCUAUGACUCCGGAGACCUGGGUUCGAUUCCCAGUUUCGGCA